rnacentral:lncRNA from 1 species
CUUUUUGGAACAAGGCUUUCCUUACCAUUAUCAUCCUAUUGAUUGUUCUAUUUCUAGAGUUUUGAGACGUCUGGUUACGCUUAUUACUCAACUGGCAAAAGAACUGUCAAACAAAGGUGUACUUAAAACUCAAGCAGAAAAUACUAACAAGGCUGCCAAAAAAUUUAUGGAAGAAAACGAAAAACUAAAAAGGAUUUUGAAAAGCCAUGGUAAAGAUGAAGAAUGUGUUUUGGAAGCAGAAAAUAAAAAACUAGUAGAAGACCAGGAGAAACUGAAAACUGAAUUAAGGAAGACUUCAGAUGCCCUUUCUAAGGCACAAAAUGAUGUGAUGGAAAUGAAGAUGCAGUCAGAGAGACUUUCGAAAGAAUAUGAUCAACUCCUGAAAGAACACUCUGAACUUCAGGAUCGUUUAGAAAGAGGCAACAAGAAAAGACUGUGAACUUUAUAAAAGACACUUGCAAUAUACUGUGUCAAAAUGAUAAUUUUGUUAUGUUAGCCUCUAGAAAAUUUAAGUUCAGAAAAAUGCACUAUGACCGGUUCGUAAUUUUUUUAAUGCCACACAUAGGUUGUAUUGUAAUGGCAUUAUCAAAAUAUUUGAUGAUGUUUCAGAUAUAUUGCAAAGUCUGUAUUCCAGCUCUUAAGAAAAAUAUAAGCAUGUUAAAUACCAUAUUUACAUAUUGAUAAUGUCAUUGGUAUAUGGUGGCUGUUUACC